UCCUACGGGACGCAGCAGUGGGGGAUAUUGCACAAUGGGGGGAACCCUGAUGCAGCGACGCCGCGUGGGUGAAGAAGCGCCUCGGCGCGUAAAGCCCUGUCAGCAGGGAAGAAAAUGACGGUACCUGAAGAAGAAGCCCCGGCUAACUACGUGCCAGCAGCCGCGGUAAUACGUGGGGGGCAAGCGUUAUCCGGAUUUACUGGGUGUAAAGGGGGCGCAGACGGCGAUGCAAGCCAGGAGUGAAAGCCCGGGGCCCAACCCCGGGACUGCUCGUGGAACUGCGUGGUGGGAGUGCAGGAGGGGCG
rnacentral:rRNA from 1 species